UUACUUUGGAAAAACGUCAAAACAAAAAAGGUGAAAUGGUGGAUCAAGCCGUGUACAAAUAUUGUCAAUCUGCUUUAAGUGCCAAAAGCAAUGGUGGAACUGGACAUCUUAGACGACAUAUGGAAACUUGUCAGACAAAACACGCGCCACAAGACCCAACACAAACCCAACUCUCACAAUAUGGUUCUGGACCUUCCGGUAUAACAUCAUUCAGAUAUUCACAACAGAACAUGCGAGAAGGAUUGGCUUGGUAUAUUGCUGCAGCAGAAUAACCUUUAAUAUUUUCAGAAGAUGAACGUCUAAUAAAUUUUUUGCAAAGGUAUGUUCAGCCUCAACUUAAGAAAGUGCCUAGAAAUACAUUAAAAUGUGAUUUAACUAAAAAUUUUCAUGACAUGAAAAAACUUUUAAUUAAUACUUUUAUCAAUUUUAAUGAAUUAAUGGUGUUAUUUCAAUUUCUUCUGAUUGUUGGACUGGUAUUAAUAUGGUUGGUUAUUUUUGUGUGACUUCGCACUCUAUACAUGAGAUUAAUGGUAAAUGGAGGUUGGAAAAAAAAUUGCUUGCAUUUCGUGAAUUAGAAUAUCCUCACUCUCUAUCUCCUCGUUAUCUCUCUUGUCUCAUCAGUCAUCUCUAGUCUCUGCUUGCCCAAUCUUCUUUGCUACAAUUCCAACGCCUUUAUUUACCAAAACACUAAUUAUAUAAAAUGUCUCACUCUCAUUUCGAGUUAGAUGAGAAUUUUAAUUUUGUUGAAGAGGGGGAGGAAGUUGCAAAUGAAGAAAUUGCUGCACCAGAAUUUGAUCCAAGUAAUAUAUUUAUUGUCCCACUUAAACGAUCGCCUCCUACUUCUCAAGCAAGUCAAAGUGGUUCUACUUCUUCGACUGCCGGUCCUAUUACUACCUCCAAACGACAAAGAACAUCAAUUGUUUGGUCAUGUUUUACUUUGGAAAAACGUCAAAACAAAAAAGGUGAAAUGGUGGAUCAAGCCGUGUACAAAUAUUGUCAAUCUGCUUUAAGUGCCAAAAGCAAUGGUGGAACUGGACAUCUUAGACGACAUAUGGAAACUUGUCAGACAAAACACGCGCCACAAGACCCAACACAAACCCAACUCUCACAAUAUGGUUCUGGACCUUCCGGUAUAACAUCAUUCAGAUAUUCACAACAGAACAUGCGAGAAGGAUUGGCUUGGUAUAUUGCUGCAGCAGAA
rnacentral:lncRNA from 1 species